rnacentral:rRNA from 1 species
GGGGGCUUCGGCCCCUGAGUAGAGCGGCGGACGGGUGAGUAACACGUGGGUAAUCUGCCCUCGGGUGGGGAAUAACUCAGGGAAACCUGGGCUAAUUCCGCAUGACAUCCUCUUUUCAUAAGGAGAGAGGCUCAAAGCUGGGGAUCCUUCGGGACCUGGCGCCUGGGGAGGAGCCCGCGGCCAAUUAGCUUGUUGGUGAGGUAACGGCUCACCAAGGCUCCGAUUGGUAGCCGGCCUGAGAGGGCGGACGGCCACACUGGGACUGAGACACGGCCCAGACUCCUACGGGAGGCAGCAGUGGGGAAUUUUUGUCAAUGGGGGAAACCCUGAACAAGCAACGCCGCGUGAAGGACGAAGGCCUUCGGGUUGUAAACUUCUGUCGGAGGGGACGAAAGCGGUAGCGGUUAAUUCCCGCUGUCGUUGACGGUACCCUACGAGGAAGCCCCGGCUAACUCCGUGCCAGCAGCCGCGGUAAUACGGGGGGGGCUAGCGUUGUUCGGAAUUACUGGGCGUAAAGGGCGCGCAGGCGGGCGGGUAAGUCUCUCGUGAAAGCCCACGGCUCAACCGUGGAAUUGCGGGAGAAACUACUUGUCUUGAGUCCGGGAGAGGAGUGUGGAAUUCCCAGUGUAGCGGUGAAAUGCGUAGAUAAUGGGAGGAACACCGGUGGCGAA